rnacentral:rRNA from 1 species
AGUGAACGCUGGCGGUAGGCCUAACACAUGCAAGUCGAACGGCAGCACAGUAAGAGCUUGCUCUUACGGGUGGCGAGUGGCGGACGGGUGAGGAAUACAUCGGAAUCUACUUUUUCGUGGGGGAUAACGUAGGGAAACUUACUCUAAUACCGCAUACGCCCUACGGGUGAAAGCAGGGGAUCUUCGGACCUUGCGCGAUUGAAUGAGCCGAUGUCGGAUUAGCUAGUUGGCGGGGUAAAGGCCCACCAAGGCGACGAUCCGUAGCUGGUCUGAGAGGAUGAUCAGCCACACUGGAACUGAGACACGGUCCAGACGCCUACGGGAGGCAGCAGUGGGGAAUAUUGGACAAUGGGCGCAAGCCUGAUCCAGCCAGACCGCGUGGGUGAAGAAGGCCUUCGGGUUGUAAAGCCCUUUUGUUGGGAAAGAAAAGCAGCAGGUUAAUACCCCGCUGUUCUGACGGUACCCAAAGAAUAAGCACCGGCUAACUUCGUG